rnacentral:lncRNA from 1 species
CUGACUUCCUUAACUUAGCUCUUUGUCUGCAAUGUCAUCUCAUCUUCUAUAAAUGAAGCUGUAUCAAAGCUUCCCAUGUAGAAAAUAGCCAACAUUCAAAUUCCUUUGCUAAGGCCAAGUGGAAAUGUUGCAUUGGCUUAUAAUAUUAAUUUGAGUGACUGGGGAUGAGACUCAACAUGCAGUUGUCUUUAUCUGUCAAAUGGGCACAGUGCCAUGAAGGAACCCAUGUCCUCUGGAUCCCUCUUUCUGAACUUCUUCCUGUGGGGAAGCCCAUUAGUAGAACUGGUUGGAAGUCUGGGGAGUAUCUCAUUGUGUUUUGAACUGGAGAGAGUUCCAGUGAGUGCUGAGAGACGUGUUUCCAACGGACUACUGAUGCCAAGAGUUGUGGCCUCUCAUUGAAACAUCUGCCUGGUGUCAUAGCAAUAAUGGAUCCUAGGUCUAUGUUACUGUAACCACCACCCACAACAACCCACUUCCAGGCUACCCAUUAUCUCAUAGGGCAAUCAUUAUGGCAAAAGUAAAAGAAUGUAUAAAAAUCAUUUAUUCUCUCUCUUCCACUUUCUUAAUGUCUUCUUGAGUAGGAAGGCUCAGGAGCUUCACUUGAGAGCUAGAUGUAACUUCUGUCUAGAAGUCUCUUCAACCCAAGACAAUGAACAGAAACCUAAAUUGUGAGAUGACUCCAAGUGACUUAAGGAUCUAAGGGGAAAAAAAGGAAAGUGAGUUUCUUUUGGUUUCUUUCGGUCCACACCAGCAGAAAGAAUUAAUCAAGGAUGACAGAUGGAUUUGGCAGGAAGAAGCCCUUUGCUUUGCAUCUCUAGAGCCCAAUAACUGAGAGCUGUACAAAUGAAUAACAGAGCUGAGAACCCACCUGUACCAGAUACUUUAAGUACCAGAUACUUAUAUGUUCCCA